GGGGAUUUAGCUCAGUGGUAGAGCGCUUGCCUGGCAGGCACAAGGCCCUGGGUUCGGUCCCCAGCUCCG
rnacentral:tRNA from 1 species